rnacentral:lncRNA from 1 species
UCGGAGUUUCCAAGUCUCUCCUCCUUCUCUCCUCCCCGCCCGGCGCUUCCGAGCCCCUUCUGUCUCGUUUCUUUUUAUUUUUCCGCACCGCACGGGCACCGGGGGCCAAAAAUAAUCGGGGCUCUGGAGAGAGGAGGGUCCCGGCCGCACGGAUAUCGGGCCCCGAGGGGGGAUGGAGGCGUCGGGGGCGGCCGAUGCAACGGAUUGCGAGGCGGCGGCGGCAGCCCGGGUGCUGCGGCCGGCAGCUGAAAAAUGGCUCCAGGAAGCUGCUGCUGACAAUGAAUGAAGGGAUACGGUUUACGCGCCAAGGUCCUCCCGCGAAACUCAGAUUUCCCGCCGGCUUUUCAAACUAUAUUUGCAUAUCCCCGCCCUUCAACCCGCCGAGGACCGUUCCCACAGCCCAUUGGGCCUCUAGCUCCUUACUUAAGUCCCAAUCGUGGCGCAGGGCCGCGGCUGGCUAGUUUCCAUUGGCUGUCUUGCAUCACGGUUACCGGGGCGACAGGGGCCUCAUUUGCAUAGACCUCCUUGAUUGGCUAAGGGAGAGCAGGGUCUUUGGGAGGUGGGGCAAAAGCCUUUCCUUCUCUCCCACGGAAAGCCACGCCUUGUCCAAGCUCCGCCCGGUCCCCGCCCGCACGCCGGGCGGGGGCUGCUGACCUGGGCAGGCGCUCAGCGCCCCGCAGACUCAGUGUCAAUCCGGUCUGGAGCGCAAGUUUCGCUUUUAGAAAUUGUCAAGGUGACCAAGGGGACACUUGCGGGAAUUCUCUUUCCUUUGGCCAGUCAGUGUAAUAGAUGAGCAAAAUCUGGAGAUUCUCCCAAAUAUGUUCCAAAGGCAAGUUGGACCACGCGGACGAUGCCUGGCAGGGCAUUUGGUAGAAAACAAACGUUUUGACACGGUAACAUGCGGUGAACCCCAGGAUGAAGUGGUAGAGAGAAGGGUCCGAAGAGAGAAGAGAAGGUGUUGGAAAACGAGAUGCGAAAAUUUGAGGACACGACGUCUGUCUUUGAGAGGCUGGCAUGGAGGAGGCAGAGCGGUGAAGCGGAGAGAAUGUGACCUUGGAGUCAGACGGACCUAUUUUGAUUUCUUACCGCACCCAAUCAAGAUCAUUAACUUCUGUGAACGUUCAUCACAGUCUUAAAGGAAGAUAAUAGCUCACUCUGUGUGGUUCCUGUGAAGACUGGACGGGACCUUACACACUGCUUGCCCCAUUCCACAUUCAUGACGAAAUAAAUGGUUAGAAUCAUUAUGUGUAUUGUUUGAA